GCCAAAAAUCUAGCCCCUCUCUCCCCAUGUAAACUCAACAUUUCAGAUUAUAAAUUAAAACAUUUUAAUGAUAGAGUAAAGGCGAUUGAAAAAUUAACAGGAGCUAUAUAUAAUGUACCGCAAGGGAAAGAUGAAAUAAAAAUGAAAUAUUUAUUAAGCACUAAAAAGUAAAGAUUAACUCUUGUACCUUUUGCAUCAUGAUUUAACUAGUUUACCCUAGCAAAACGAUUUUUAGUUUGACUUCCCGAAACUAAGUGAGCUACUUCAAGGCAGCUUAAUGAGCAAAUCCGUCUCUGUUGCAAAAGAGUGGAAAGACCUUCAAGUAGGGGUGACAGACCUAACGAGCUUAGUGAUAGCUGGUUACUCAAGAAAAGGAUCUAAGUCCAACCUAAAGCUUAACUUAAUACCACAAAAUUAAUAAACCUAACUUUAGAGCAAUUCAAUUAAGGUACAGCCUACUUGAAACAGGAUACAACCUCAACUAAUGGGUUAUUUUAACCAUCAACACAUUUAAGUUGGCCUAAGAGCAGCCACCUUUUAAAUAGCGUCAAAGCUUAGCCAUGUAACUGUUUAAUCCCAACAACACCUUUUAACCCUUUACUACUAUUGAGUACUUCUAUAUACCUAUAGAACUUUUUAUGUUAAAACUAGUAACAAGAACCAGACCUUCUCUUAUAUGUCAGCGUACAUCAGUAAGGACACACCACUGAUAAUUAACAUCAAUGAACUAAAAGUAGCAACUCAACAAGAAAACUCUUCUUAACAAUAUGUUAAUCUAACACAAGUGCAUUUCAAGAAAGAUUUAAAGAAAAAGAAGGAACUCGGCAAACAUUAACCUCGCCUGUUUACCAAAAACAUCGCCUCUUGUAAAAAUUUAAGAGGUCCAGCCUGCCCAGUGACUCUGUUCAACGGCCGCGGUAUCCUAACCGUGCGAAGGUAGCGUAAUCACUUGUUCUUUAAAUAAGGACUAGUAUGAAUGGCACCACGAAGGUUACACUGUCUCCUUUUUCUAAUCAGUGAAACUAAUCUUCCCGUGAAGAAGCGGGAAUAAUUAUAUAAGACGAGAAGACCCUAUGGAGCUUUAAACAAAAUAACAACUGCUAACUAAAUCUUAAUUUCAGAAAACCAAUCUUUACCCAAGCAUUGUGAUUACUAGUUUUAGGUUGGGGUGACCGCGGAGCAAAAAACAACCUCCAUAUUGAAAGAAUCAUAAUUCUAAGCAAAAAGCUACAACUUUAAGCAUCAACAAAUUGACAUCUAUUGACCCAAUAUUGUGAUCAACGAACCAAGUUACCCUAGGGAUAACAGCGCUAUCCACUUUAAGAGCCCUUAUCGACAAGUGGGCUUACGACCUCGAUGUUGGAUCAGGGUACCCCAGUGGUGCAGCCGCUACUAAAGGUUCGUUUGUUCAACGAUUAAAACCCUACGUGAUCUGAGUUCAGACCGGAGUAA
rnacentral:rRNA from 1 species